rnacentral:rRNA from 1 species
GAUGAACGCUGGCGGCGUGCCUAAUACAUGCAAGUCGAGCGAACAGACGAGGAGCUUGCUCCUCUGACGUUAGCGGCGGACGGGUGAGUAACACGUGGAUAACCUACCUAUAAGACUGGGAUAACUUCGGGAAACCGGAGCUAAUACCGGAUAAUAUAUUGAACCGCAUGGUUCAAUAGUGAAAGACGGUUUUGCUGUCACUUAUAGAUGGAUCCGCGUCGCAUUAGCUAGUUGGUAAGGUAACGGCUUACCAAGGCGACGAUGCGUAGCCGACCUGAGAGGGUGAUCGGCCACACUGGAACUGAGACACGGUCCCGACUCCUACGGGAGGCAGCAGUAGGGAAUCUUCCGCAAUGGGCGAAAGCCUGACGGAGCAACGCCGCGUGAGUGAUGAAGGUCUUCGGAUCGUAAAGCUCUGUUAUUAGGGAAGAACAAAUGUGUAAGUAACUAUGCACGUCUUGACGGUACCUAAUGAGAAAGCCACGGCUAACUACGUG